CAAUGAGGUCCUCCAAUAGGUCCUGGCAGGUCACUAAUGAGCCUAAUGACUCCUCUUAAUGAGGUCCUCCAAUGAGGUCCUCCAACAGGUCCUGGCAGGUCGCUAAUGAGCCUAAUGACUCUGCUUAAUGAGGUCCUCCAAUGGGGCUAAUGAGGUCCUCCAAUGAGGUCCUCCAACAGGUCCUGGCAGGUCGCUAAUGAGCCUAACGACUCACCUUAAUGAGGUCCUGCAACAGGUCCUGGCAGAUUAAUUUGGGGUCCUUCUUAACGGGGUCG